rnacentral:rRNA from 1 species
UACGGAGGAUGCAAGCGUUAUCCGGAAUGAUUGGGCGUAAAGCGUCCGCAGGUGGCUGUGUAAGUCUGCUGUCAAAGAGCGAAGCUCAACUUCGUAAAGGCAGUGGAAACUACACGGCUAGAGUGUGUUCGGGGCAGAGGGAAUUCCUGGUGUAGCGGUGAAAUGCGCAGAUAUCAGGAGGAACACCGGUGGCGAAGGCGGGUCUCUGGGCCGAUACUGACGCUGAGGGGCGAAAGCAUGGGUAGCGAACAGG